rnacentral:pre_miRNA from 1 species
AGGCAAGAUGUUGGCAAAGCUGUAGCAUCAGAAACCUGCUGUGCCAUCAUAUUGCCAUC